rnacentral:tRNA from 1 species
UCUAGUUUGGCAGAGAUUUAAGUAGUGUAGUAAAUUUAGAAUUUACAUAGGUGUUUUACACAACUAGUA